rnacentral:rRNA from 1 species
CUAACAAGGAUUCCCCUAGUAACGGCGAGUGAAGCGGGAAGAGCUCAAGCUUAAAAUCUCCGUGCAAGUUUUGCGCGGCGAAUUGUAGUCUAUAGAGGCGUGGUCAGCGUGGGCGCUUGGGGCAAGUUCCUUGGAAGAGGACAGCAUGGAGGGUGAUACUCCCGUUCAUCCCUGAGUGGCUCGUGCGUACGACCCGUGUUCUUUGAGUCGCGUUGUUUGGGAAUGCAGCGCAAAGUAGGUGGUAAAUUCCAUCUAAAGCUAAAUAUUGGUGCGAGACCGAUAGCGAACAAGUACCGUGAGGGAAAGAUGAAAAGAACUUUGAAAAGAGAGUUAAAGAGUACCUGAAACUGCUGAAAGGGAACCGAAUCGUUUCCAGUGUCUAUAAUCCGUGGCAUAUUUCAUUGGCGAGUGUGCGCGUGCGUGUGCUGUGGCAGCGGCCUUUUUGGUUGCGCUCGGUGCGUGUGCUGUGUGUGCUUGCUGGUGCCCUGUGCUGCGGUGGGACGUCAAGGUCAGUUCGUAUGCUGCGGGAAAUGGCUGCCGAGGAGGUAGGGCUUACGCUCCGCGUUUGUCUGUUAUAUCUUGGUGGACGAGUCGUCGCGGUUGGGACUGAGGUGCCUACAACGUGCUUUUGAGUAGGUCUGUGUCUCCGUGUGCGCCGUGUGCGGAUAGCUUGCUAUGCGUGUGUGGUUGUGUGUGGAUUGAUGCGGGCUUUAACUUGUCGCCGUUCGGGACGUUGACGAAAUGGAGCGAUCCGACCCGUCUUGAAACACGGACCAAGGAGUCUAACAUGUGUGCAAGUGUUAGGGUGUGGAAACCCCAGCGCGAAAUGAAAGUGAAGGGCAGCGCAAGUUGUCUGAGGUAGGAAACGUUGCGGGCUUCGGUCUGCGGCGUGGCACUAUCGACCGAUCAUGAACCUUCGUGGUGAAAGAUUUGAGUUUGAGCACAUAUGUUGGUACCCGAAAGAUGGUGAACUAUGCCUGAGUAGGGUGAAGCCAGGGGAAACUCUGGUGGAAGCUCGUAGCGAUUCUGACGUGCAAAUCGAUCGUCAAACUUGGGUAUAGGGGCGAAAGACUAAUCGAACCAUCUAGUAGCUGGUUCCCUCCGAAAUUUCCCUCAGGAUAGCAGCAACUUAUUUACGAUAGUUUUAUGAGGUAAAGCGAAUGAUUAGAGGAUUCGGGGAAGAAACUUCCUCGACCUAUUCUCAAACUUUAAAUCUGUAAGACCUGCAGGUUUCUUAAUUGAACUUGUGGAUGUGAAUAUCAA